rfam:Sphingobacterium nematocida strain DSM 24091 genome assembly, contig: LY61DRAFT_scaffold00001.1
CAUUGGCUUUAGGGGUGUCCUUUGUAAUGGACUGAGAUAGACCCUUUGAACCUGACACGGUUUGUACCGUCGUAGGGAAAAGCAAGAACCUAUCC